CAGUAGCCACGGUAACACGGAGGGAGCUAGCGUUGUUCGGAAUUACUGGGCGUAAAGCGCGCGUAGGCGGUUACUCAAGUCAGAGGUGAAAGCCCGGGGCUCAACCCCGGAACUGCCUUUGAAACUAGGUGACUAGAAUCUUGGAGAGGUCAGUGGAAUUCCGAGUGUAGAGGUGAAAUUCGUAGAUAUUCGGAAGAACACCAGUGGCGAAGGCGACUGACUGGACAAGUAUUGACGCUGAGGUGCGAAAGCGUGGGGAGCAAACAGGAUUAGAUACCCCGGUAGUCCCUGUCUCUUAUAC
rnacentral:rRNA from 1 species